AGGAGAUUAGCCAAGCGGUUACGGCACUGGUCUUUGAUAUCAGCAUCGGUGGUUCGAAUCCACCAUCUCCUG
rnacentral:tRNA from 2 species